CGGCUUCGCCUUGUCGCCGGCGGCGUCCUUGCCGCCCUUGUUCUCCUUGCCCUUGACCUGCAUGUCCUUGAUGAUCCUGCCGGCCUUGCAGCACAGCUUCUUGCACACCUUGUCGGCGUCGAACGGCCCCGACACCAUCACCGCAUUGUUCUUCUCGUCGUACGAGAUCGUCUUGAUGUUCGCCUUAUCUGCACAACACCACAGAUCAUCCAUGAAAACCAUCAGCCAUUAGCCAUGAUGAACACGCUUUUGCAUUGGUGACUGUGGCGAUGAAUUGAUGAUGCGAAUGCGAUAUGAAACCAUAUGAUAGUGUACUAGCUUCUACCUUGGAUCCUGCAAAGGACUCUUCUGAUCUUCUUGUAGCAUCGAUCGCAUUCGAGGUCAACGUUGAGCACAACCGUGGAGAUCUGCAGCGAUGUGAUCGAGGGAUUAAAAGAUAGGUAAAUGCUGUACUAAUGGAG
rnacentral:sRNA from 1 species